CUUAACUCGAUACCGGUCUUCUUUGCCGUGCUACAUGUCCAUAUAUUAUUCUUGUGUUGCUUCGUAUUGCUGCUUAUACGAAACUUUUAAUCACAUUUUAAUCAGAGCACUAAUACAAGGAAACUUUAUUAUCGCAAUCAUAAGGAAAACCGAAGAAUGUGAGACGUUUUUAUGUAGCAGAAGGCUAUAGCUGGAUUGGAUUUAAAGGAAAAAAUAAGUUCUCUCUUUUACGUAUUGCAGCUGUUAUAAUAACGGCAGUGCAAAAAACACAUAGCUCAAUCACGCUGUGUGACAUUGAAGCAGUUAUCAAAGCAUGGCUUGUCAAAGCAAAGUUUAGAAACACUAAAAAGACGACGUAAUCUAAUUCAUUUAUUAUGAUUUAUAAUAAAGUGGUCACACAUCAAGAAUGUGAAAUGAAACUCUAAGAAUACGAUGAAAAAUUAAUUUUAUUUCAA